rnacentral:lncRNA from 1 species
CGAAGAACGAGGAGGACGACAUGAGGGAGAUGGAGGAGGAGCGGCUGCGCAUGCGGGAGCAUGUGAUGAAGAACGUGGACACCAACCAGGACCGACUUGUGACCCUGGAGGAAUUCCUGGCAUCCACACAGAGGAAGGAGUUUGGGGAAACUGCGGAGGGAUGGAAGACAGUGGAAAUGUAUCCAGCCUACACAGAGGAAGAGCUGAAGCGUUUUGAAGAGGAGCUUGCUGCCCGGGAGGCUGAGCUAAAUGCCAGAGCCCAGCGCCUCAGCCAGGAGACAGAGGCCCUGGGGCGCUCCCAGGACCGCCUAGAGGCUCAGAAGAGAGAGCUGCAGCAGGUGACCCUAGGACCUUUUUCUUUAUCCAAAUGGGUGUCUUCAGGGUGCGAUGGCCUGUAGCCUCCAUGUUAAUUUUAGACACAUAAAUGCAGGAAGUAGCUGCCUUCAUUAAAGCAGCAGAGGAGAGUCCAUGCCUGACUGCUAUGGCAGCCAUUUUACCUGAGGGCAGUGAGAGAUGUGAGGCCCUGGAGGAGAAUGUAAGGGUUCAGUGUGGGUGUACCCGAGCCUCAACAGGAGAGAAUGCAAUCUUAUCCAGUGUGAAUCCCAGCUCAGUGACAGAGGAGCCAAGGUCAUGAGGAAGAAAGAGCACUGUGGCCACUUAGCAGUGGGCCGCUCUUUCAGGGCCGUAACUUGCUGUCUCCACAGGCCGUUCUGCAGAUGGAGCAAAGGAAGCAGCAACAGCAAGAGCAGAGCGCUCCGCCUUCCCAACCUGAUGGGCAGCUGCAGUUCCGUGCAGACACAGGGGAUGCUCCUGUCCCAGCUCCAGCAGGUGACCAGAAAGACGUGCCUGCUUCUGAAAAGAAGGUUCCAGAGCAGCCCCCUGUGCUGCCACAGCUGGAUUCUCAGCAUUUAUAAGCCCUCAGAGAUCCCGGCCCUCAAGUUCCCACAGACAGUGAUGGAAGCUGGAUGAAGUGUCCUUGCAGCCUUUCUGGAGACCAAAGCCUUCAUGGCCUCCAGGGGAGAACAGGGCCACCCUGUUCCUCAGAUGCGCUUCUGCCCAUGUCUACCAGUCUGUUCUCACAGCCUCUGGGUCCCAGUCCUGCCUUCCUCCCUCCCUUCCUUGGCAGGGACUCAACUGCAGGAGCCCCUCACCC